CUUUACAAUGACGGGGUUGGAGGCUGAACAACAAGGGGAAGGUGGCCAUAGGUGUGUUUUGAAGAGGUCACAGAUAUGCGCUCUUUUUGGGGGAAGAGAAACGUAGAUGGAAUUCCUGUGCUGAAGAGACUUUGCCAUCAAAGUAAAUUCCAAACUUGACUAGAAGACAAGAUAGAAAGGUCUUCAAAAUAACACUAGACAAGAAAACAUUUACAUGGAGCAACAAAUAUCUGCUGCAGCAUUGUCAUCCAUCCAGUUCCACUCCAUUCACCGCUGAGUCCAUAAGUAAUUUUGAACACAUCCAUGAGCUACCAGACAAUGAAAAGCCCACUGACCAGAAGAAAUUGUCUGGUCCAAGCAUCCACCCUCGAAGAGGAAUACAGUCAGCUGUUUGACAUAGAACAAACUUGUCCUCUGGAAUAUCUGCCUGGAGGUACUUCAAACAUUCUGGAGGAUCUACAUUGGCUGAUGGGAGAAUAUGGGACUAGUAUUGCUUUAUUUCCCUCAAUAACCUACAUCCUUUCAGAGGAGAGUAUACGCAUCUGAAACAGGCACUGGCAAUGAUCUGGGCCAAAAGAAAAGUGCGGAAAUAUUUGCCUGAAAAUGUGGGGGAGUUUGCCAGAUUUUAUGGAAAAUUGCAGGGGGUUGAUUGGUGCUAUUGAGGUACAUUUUGCUGC